CAAACUAUUCAGUUUAGAAAAGAAUGAUAUUAGAAACCUCAAUAUAAUUUUUGAAGACCUAUCCAUAGAUACCCCACACGUAUGGGUUUGAUGAAUUUUUUUUUCAGUUUCAGCGAUUUAUGACGUAUUAAAAAAAAACUACUUACUAGAUCUCGUUCAAACCAAUUUUCGGUGGAAGUUUACAUGAUAAUGUACAUCAUAUAUUUUUUUUAGUUUUAUCAUUCUCUUAUUUUAGAAGUUACAGGGGGGGACACACAUUUUACCACUUUAGAAGUGUCUCUCGCGCAAACUAUUCAGUUUAGAAAAAAAUGAUAUUAGAAACCUCAAUAUCAUUUUUGAAGACCUAUCCAUAGAUACCCCACACGUAUGGGUUUGAUGAAAAAAAUUUUUUUGCGAUUUAUGACGUAUUAAAAAAAAAAACUACUUACUAGAUCUCGUUCAAACCAAUUUUCGGUGGAAGUUUACAUGGUAAUGUACAUCGUAUAUUUUUUUUAGUUUUAUCAUUCUCUUAUUUUAGAAGUUACAGGGGGGGGGGGGGGACACACACAUUUUACCACUUUGGAAGUGUCUCUCGCGCAAACUAUUCAGUUUAGAAAAAAAUGAUAUUAGAAACCUCAAUAUCAUUUUUGAAGACCUAUCCAUAGAUACCCCACACGUAUGGGUUUGAUGAAGAAAAAAAAAUUGAGUUUCAGUUCGAAGUAUGGGGAACCCCA